UAUCCCAUCCUGCUAUGCUGCCAUCUGGGCUACCUGGACCUGGUAUCGGUUUGCAGGUGUGUUACUUGGCAUUUCUACUGAUUUUGCUGGUGGAUUCACAGCUGGGGCUGUAGCUUUCUUGGUAAUUAAUGGCUUCCUAAUGCUUAUAGGUGCCUAUGUAAAUGUUGUGCUGCUGUUGCUGACUCUUGUCAUGGAGGUGAUUGUGGUGUGUUUCCUGCUCUCCACACUGGGCAGACUGCCUUACCAACUGGAAAUUGCGAUGCUGGCCAUCUUCUCUUUGAUCUGUUUGUAUGGUACUCUGGCCUCCCUUGCAAAUUCCAUCUUCACAAAGGAGCUGCUGCCUCUCGGGCCCCCGCUGCUGAAGG